rnacentral:lncRNA from 1 species
GGGGGAUGUAGGGAUUCAUCUUUGUCACAUUUUCUCUCUAAUUUAGCUGUCUAGGGAGCCUCCCUUGUUUUGCAGAAGUGGAAACAUCCAGUUUAAUUUCAUCUUUUCUCAGACUGCAGUAGCUUGCUUCCUCAGAAGCCAGGGUCUCUCUCCAUUUAUUCUUAGUGUUUAUCCCUUUAAUUCUCCUACAGUUUCACAAGUGCUUCUGGUAUAUUUUGUAAUUUUAGCUUAUAAUCACAUUUUUCGAAGAGGCACCAUCUGGUUCCUGACAUGGCUUAAAAUAACAAUCUAACUAACACGAACCCUGCAGCAAUGCUUUGCGCCCUUCCCAACCCAGUGUGAGAGUGUCCCCACCUAUAUUUCUUCACAAAUGCUCCACUGUUAGGUUCCAUCCCUUCCGAUAGAUCUCACAGAAAGCGGGGCCUUUUACCUCUUUCAUCUCGAACCCAGUCGUUUCAGGCAGUCAAAAUGGAUGCGUUAAAAAAAAAAAAAAAAAACCUUGCAGCUAGGACAGCAGAGGAUCUGCUGUGAACUGCUCAGUCAGAGACUUGGAGCUGGAGCUCACGUCUGUAUUUCAGCUGCCCUCUGGUGCUUAGCACUGCAGCAGUACACGCCAUCAUCAUGGCCCCAGUGCUUGGAGGUCCCUGCGACGGAGCAGCGGAAACCAAGCACAGCAAAAAUUCCUUUGAAGACAGAAAAGUGGCCCAGUGCUGUGCAGCAGGGCUACGGUGCUGGAAUCCAGCCCGGCCCAGUGCCGGCGUUGGCAGCGGCCUUCCCAUUAUAUCAGGAAGGGCUGUAUCCCGUCGCCACCAUGCCCCAACCCCCCCGGCUCGCCUCAGCUGUCUGCGGGACGUGGAGCCAGGCAGAGGGUGCCCUGCAAGAAGCAGAGCUGUUGGUUUGAGGUGCGGAAAGCCGGCCAGUCUGGAUGCGACUGCUGCUGCGUGGCGGACAGGGGUCCAGAGAUGUAGAGCAAGGGAGAAAGGCUGUUUGGCAGGGAGGCUGGAAAGAAGAUUGGGACAGAUUUUCCACCAGAUGCUCCCCAGAGCAAAGGCAAUUUCCAGACAAGUUUAUUUACAGCUACAGUUGUGUAUUGUUUGCAAACUCACACCUCCUGAAAAGCAAAAGAGGAGGGAAAAUUACUGGAAACAGAAAAAAAGAAUGCAUGAACAAUCUUUCUGGCUAUAGAGGGACUCUAGUUGGUUAUGUGACCCAUCCUUUGGGGAGGUCUGAGGGGGACAUACCCACCUGGCACUGAGUCUACUGAGUCUGUGCAUCCUUUUUUUGUCUCAUUUGUUAUGAAUAGCCUUCAUCAGCAAGCCAGGACUAUGGUAACAUCUUCUCAGUAUGACUGAUUACCUUUAAAUAGUUUUGUCUUGAAUACGGCGAGAUCUACCUAACGUUGGGUUUUCCAAGCAAGUUCAGACAUCUGUCCCUUGCUGCUACAGUGAUGACUGCACCUUUGCUUACACAUCCACUUCUUCCCACAGCAGUUAAGAAAGGUUAAAUAAAGGUCUACGUCAGCCAGCCUUUGGGCA